UCCCCACCAUUUUCUUUGAGUUUUAAGGUUCCACAAAAGUUUUUGAGUGUUUUUAAGCAAGUUUGGAGCUUGGAAGUCUUGGAGCUAAAUCCCUCCAUUUUCCGAGCUAGGGUCGUUCUUCCUCUCGAUCUUCAAGAGGUAAGCUUCGAUCUAUGCUUCCUUUAUGUUUUAUGAAAGUUUUAUGCAAGUUGAUGGGGUAGAAUGCAUGUUUAGGCUUGUUGUUAGGUUUAUGGGUUUAUGUUGUGAUUUGAACAAUGUAUGUUGGAAAUGUGUUGUAGUUGGGGUAUAUUAUAGUUUGAGACCCCUAGGUGUGAAGUAUGAUGUGUAUGCAUGUGUAGAAACAAGUUUAUGCAUGUUUUGAGGCGUUUUGGAGGCUUGGACACAAGGGAGCCAAGUUUCUGCCCUUCGGCAGAAACUCAGGUUCGGCCGCCGAAGUGACUUUCGGCCGCCGAACCCCCUUGUGGAGGCAGUUUCGGCUGCCGAAGCCUGCCCCCGAAACUCAAGUUUCGUCUCUGUCUGGGAGGUUCGGCCGCCGAAAGUGCCGCCGAACCUGCAUGACUUUCGGCUGCAGAGGGACUUUCGGCUGCCGAACCUGCCGCCGAAAGUGCCCUGUUCAGCCAUUUCUUGCAUGUUUUCGUGCGAUGUUUUCAGGAUGUUUUAGGGGGUUUUUGGGGAGUAUUUUAGAGUCAUAUUCAUGUAUGUUUGGUCCCUCAUUUGAGUCCACCUGUGUAGGUUCGGACCCGAGGAACCGAGACCCCCAGCAGUGAGCCAGCUGCUUCAGAGUCUCUUCAGAGCUAGCCAGAGGUGAGUGGAAUAAACUUUAAGUUUAAAGCAAAUUAAUGAAAUGUUUUAGCAUGAUUCACGCAUCAUGAAUGCCAUGAGGUAUAUUAGGUCGUUUGCAUUAGAAUUCACGAAUAUGUUGCAUUGCAUACUUUGUUGUUGAUGUGGAUGAAUGUUGAAUGAUCCAUUAGCCCUUGUAUGUCAUGAUAGCCUAUGUGAGUCCAGGUGUGCCUGCUACGGCUCUACGCCCCUUGCACUAUGACAGAUUAUGGAAGUCCGGGUGUGCCUGCUACGGCUCUACGCCCCCGGCAUGUAUAAGUAAGAAAGAUAGGGGCUAAAUGGUGAUAAGUUCAUCCUUGUUGUGAAAUGUUUGUGUUAUGGCGCAUACAUGAAAGCAUGAUUUAAAUUGAUGUUUUAUUAUUCUGCUCACUAGGCUCUAGUAGCUCACCCCACUCCCUUUAUCCCCAGAGUUGCAGGUACAGGAUAGAUCAGGAAGUCGGCUAGAGUGAAGUUAAGUCAUGUAUGUUGUAAUAGAUAGUAGUGGACAUGAACAUGAUGUAAUGAGUAUUUAUGACUAUGUAAUGUAAUGGAUGAUUUGAUGAUGUAUUGAGGAUUAUAGUAGUGCUUGACCUAGAGGUGUG
rnacentral:lncRNA from 1 species